UUAUCUCUAAUAACACAUGCAUCACAAUCAAACAAAAUUAAAUAGCCACUAGCCAUUAAUUGCCCAACACUUAACAAAUUAUGUGACAAGUUAGGAACAUAAAAGACAUCAUGAAGAAAUUUUACUUUACCACCAUUAGUCUCCAAAGCUACUAUUCUUUUGCCUUCAACUUGAAUUGGCUUGUCAUCACCAAGCUUUACGGUCAUCCUAUGUGUCUCAUCAAGCUCACGAAAUAAGGACUUUUCACCCAUCAUGUGGUUUGAAUAGUUUAGUUGUUGUCCAAAAACCAAACAUCAAUUGCAACACUUAUGUCACUAUAUCGGGCCAUAAACAAACUUUACUCUUUAGCCUCUUCAGCAUAACUUGCCUUUUUCUCCCUUUUCCAGCAAUUUGCCUUAAUAUGUUCAUACCAUUUGCAGUAGUGGAAUUGGGACAUCCUUGUAAUUUUUUUACUCUGUAAAAUGCUGGGAAUUAUUUUGCUUUUCGAAAGACAUGUAACCUUUGCCAUGAGAACCACCUUUGCCAUGUGGACCACCUUUUCCAUG
rnacentral:lncRNA from 1 species